rnacentral:rRNA from 1 species
CCUACGGGGGGCAGCAGUGAGGAAUAUUGGUCAAUGGACGAGAGUCUGAACCAGCCAAGUAGCGUGAAGGAUGACUGCCCUAUGGGUUGUAAACUUCUUUUAUAUGGGAAUAAAAUGUUCCACGUGUGGGAUUUUGUAUGUACCAUAUGAAUAAGGAUCGGCUAACUCCGUGCCAGCAGCCGCGGUAAUACGGAGGAUCCGAGCGUUAUCCGGAUUUAUUGGGUUUAAAGGGAGAGUAGGUGGAUUGUUAAGUCAGUUGUGAAAGUUUGCGGCUCAACCGUAAAAUUGCAGUUGAAACUGGCAGUCUUGAGUACAGUAGAGGUGGGCGGAAUUCGUGGUGUAGCGGUGAAAUGCUUAGAUAUCACGAAGAACUCCGAUUGCGAAGGCAGUUCACUGGACUGCAACUGACACUGAGGCUCGAAAGUGUGGGUAUCAAACAGGAUUAGAUACCCUAGUAGUC